AGAUCAUGAUGAGGGAAAAGUCUUAGCAUUUCUUUUAAUUUUUCCCAAGCCUCGCAUAAAGAUUCUCCUUUUUUUUUAUUGAAGCUUGUAAUUUGAUUUAUCAUUU